rnacentral:rRNA from 1 species
AUUGAACGCUGGCGGCAUGCUUUACACAUGCAAGUCGAACGGUAACAGGCCGCAAGGUGCUGACGAGUGGCGAACGGGUGAGUAAUGCAUCGGAACGUGCCCAGUCGUGGGGGAUAACUACUCGAAAGAGUAGCUAAUACCGCAUACGAUCUAUGGAUGAAAGCGGGGGACCGCAAGGCCUCGCGCGAUUGGAGCGGCCGAUGUCAGAUUAGGUAGUUGGUGGGGUAAAGGCUCACCAAGCCAACGAUCUGUAGCUGGUCUGAGAGGACAACCAGCCACACUGGGACUGAGACAUGGCCCAGACUCCUACGGGAGGCAGCAGUGGGGAAUUUUGGACAAUGGGCGCAAGCCUGAUCCAGCAAUGCCGCGUGCAGGAAGAAGGCCUUCGGGUUGUAAACUGCUUUUGUACGGAACGAAACGGCUCUGGUUAAUACCCGGGGCUAAUGACGGUACCGUAAGAAUAAGCACCGGCUAACUACGUG